rnacentral:tRNA from 1 species
GGAGGGGUACCCAAGCGGUCAACGGGGGCAGACUGUAAAUCUGCUGGCUAAGCCUUCGGAGGUUCGAAUCCUCCCCCCUCCACCA